UCUCCAAUAGUGUAGUGGUGAUCACCGGCGCCUGUCACGUGCCAAACCCGGGUUCGAUUCCCGGUUGGAGAG